UGAAGAAGGGGUAGAAUGCUACUACAUGAACUUCCACAGGUAAUGGAACAGGACUGGACGAUGGCAAAUUGCUUAGGACAACGGAGGUUAUAUUAAGGCCUGUGACUUCUUCUCUGAGUGACAUGGGAUAUUCUGUUUCAACAGGUCCAGUUGUACCAGGACAAUGGGAUCCCAGUGAGGAGCAAAGAGUUUCCAUUCACCCAGAGGUGCGAAGUAAAUCACCCAUCCUGGUGGGACAUCUCAUUGCAAAUUCUGAGAGACAGCCAGCGAGAGAGGGAACACAAAGAGGGGGAAUGGGAGAGGAAGAACCAG